rnacentral:rRNA from 1 species
UGGCAGACGGGUGAGUAACACGUGGGAACGUACCCUUCGGUUCGGAAUAACUCAGGGAAACUUGAGCUAAUACCGGAUACGCCCUUUUGGGGAAAGGUUUACUGCCGAAGGAUCGGCCCGCGUCUGAUUAGCUUGUUGGUGGGGUAACGGCCUACCAAGGCGACGAUCAGUAGCUGGUCUGAGAGGAUGAUCAGCCACACUGGGACUGAGACACGGCCCAGACUCCUACGGGAGGCAGCAGUGGGGAAUAUUGGACAAUGGGCGCAAGCCUGAUCCAGCCAUGCCGCGUGAGUGAUGAAGGCCUUAGGGUUGUAAAGCUCUUUUGUCCGGGACGAUAAUGACGGUACCGGAAGAAUAAGCCCCGGCUAACUUCGUGCCAGCAGCCGCGGUAAUACGAAGGGGGCUAGCGUUGCUCGGAAUCACUGGGCGUAAAGGGCGCGUAGGCGGCCGAUUAAGUCGGGGGUGAAAGCCUGUGGCUCAACCACAGAAUUGCCUUCGAUACUGGUUGGCUUGA